rnacentral:rRNA from 1 species
UACGUAGGGUGCGAGCGUUGUCCGGAAUUACUGGGCGUAAAGAGCUCGUAGGUGGUUUGUCGCGUUGUUCGUGAAAACUCACAGCUUAACUGUGGGCGUGCGGGCGAUACGGGGCAGACUGGAGUACUGCAGGGGAGACUGGGAAUUCCUGGUGUAGCGGUGGAAUGACGCAGAUAUCAGGAGGAACACCGGUGGCGAAGGCGGGUCUCUGGGCAGUAACUGACGCUGAGGAGCGAAAGCGUGGGAAGCAAACAGG